GACGAACGCUGGCGGCGUGCUUAACACAUGCAAGUCGAACGGAAAGGCCCUGCUUUUGUGGGGUGCUCGAGUGGCGAACGGGUGAGUAACACGUGAGUAACCUGCCCUUGACUUUGGGAUAACUUCAGGAAACUGGGGCUAAUACCGGAUAGGAGCUCCUGCUGCAUGGUGGGGGUUGGAAAGUUUCGGCGGUUGGGGAUGGACUCGCGGCUUAUCAGCUUGUUGGUGGGGUAGUGGCUUACCAAGGCUUUGACGGGUAGCCGGCCUGAGAGGGUGACCGGCCAAAUUGGGACUGGGAUACGGCCCAGACUCCUACGGGAGGCAGCAGUGGGGAAUAUUGCACAAUGGGCGGAAGCCUGAUGAAGCAACGCCGCGUGCGGGAUGACGGCCUUCGGGUUGUAAACCGCUUUCGCCUGUGACGAAGCGUGAGUGACGGUAAGGGGUAAAGAAGCACCGGCUAACUACG
rnacentral:rRNA from 1 species